UGAGGAGCAGACGUAUAGGCAGAGGUGGGUCUAUGUGGAGCUGGGUCAGAAGGACUUUCUUGUGUCAAGUGGUCCUCACCUACCCUACCUGCUUCUGUGCUCACCCCCCAACCCAGCUGCCGAAGAGUUAUCAAGACAAAGAACAAAAGUCAGAAGGGGGGAAGGUGAAGAGCUGGGGGUGGGGGGAAAAAAGCCAAGAGCCAUAUCCACUCCUAGGGAUAGGGCACUUUAGCUUUUUCCCCUUUGAAAUUUCAAAUUCCAGUUUGUGGACAAAGUCCUAGCUAUCUCACAAUAUAGAUCCCAACCACUGACCAAACUCCACUCCAAGCAGCCACCUCCACUGGGACUGGCCUGACCUGGCCACUUCUUUCAGUUCCCUGGAACCCCAAAGGGAUCAGCUUCCUCUGGACUCCCCCCUACCUUUGCCUUUCCCUUGAUCAUGAAGGAUUCCCUUGGGCCCACUAGAGCCCACAGCCUCUUUCUCGGAAUUACAGCUGGGGUACACUCACUGACAACCACAAGCAAGAGACAAGAGUCAUUGAAAUCCAGUGGUAAAACAAAAGCUAAGGUGACUGGAGAUGGCCCAGGAUGCAGUGGAUGACCUUGGUGAUCAGACGUGAAGUCUGAUCAAGCUCCAAGUGCUUCACAGAACCUGCUUCAGCCAUCUUCAUGCUCCCUGGAACAAAUGGUUCUAAUCUGCUCAUUCACAUCUGGGAAGUACAGAAUGAGAAAAAAAUGCUUGGUGAUUGAAGACAUUAAAAAAAAAUAAACCAUAACACCCUGAGAGUCACUCACCGGCC